UGGGGAAUUUUGGACAAUGGGCGAAANCCUGAUCCAGCAAUGCCGCGUGUGUGAAGAAGGCCUUCGGGUUGUAAAGCACUUUUGUCCGGAAAGAAAUCCUUGGCUCUAAUACAGUCGGGGGAUGACGGUACCGGAAGAAUAAGCACCGGCUAACUACGUGCCAGCAGCCGCGGUAAUACGUAGGGUGCAAGCGUUAAUCGGAAUUACUGGGCGUAAAGCGUGCGCAGGCGGUUUGCUAAGACCGAUGUGAAAUCCCGGGCUCAACCUGGGAACUGCAUUGGUGACUGGCAGGCUAGAGUAUGGCAGGAGGGGGGUAGAAUUCCACGUGUAGCAGUGAAAUGCGUAGAGAUGUGGAGGAAUACCGAUGGCGAAGGCAGCCCCCUGGGCCAAUACUGACGCUCAUGCACGAAAGCGUGGGGAGCAAACAGGAUUAGAUACCCUGGUAGUCCACGCCCUAAACGAUGUCAACUAGUUGUGGGGAUUCAUUCCUUAGUAACGUAGCUAGCGCGUGAAGUUGACCGCCUGGGGAGUACGGUCGCAAGAUU
rnacentral:rRNA from 1 species